AUGCAGUCGAGCGGUAAGGCCCUUUCGGGGGUACACGAGCAGCGAACGGGUGAGUAAUAAGCCGGGUGACCUGCCUUUAGCUCUGGGAUAAGCCUGGGAAACUGGGUCUAAUACCGGAUAUGACUCCAUGGUGCAUGCUUGUGGGGUGGAAAGCCUUGUGCGGCUAGGGAUGGGCCCGCGGCCUAUCAGCCUGUUGGUGGGGUGAUGGCCUACCAAGGCGACGACGGGUAGCCGGCCUGAGAGGGCGACCGGCCACACUGGGACUGAGACACGGCCCAGACUCCUACGGGAGGCAGCAGUGGGGAAUCUUGCGCAAUGGGCGAAAGCCUGACGCAGCGACGCCGCGUGAGGGAUGACGGCCUUCGGGUUGUAAACCUCUUUCAGCCCUGACGAAGCGAGAGUGACGGUAGGGGCAGAAGAAGCACCGGCCAACUACGUGCCAGCAGCCGCGGUAAUACGUAGGGUGCAAGCGUUGUCCGGAAUUAUUGGGCGUAAAGAGCUCGUAGGCGGUCUGUCGCGUCGGCUGUGAAAACUCGGGGCUCAACCCCGAGCUUGCAGUCGAUACGGGCAGGCUGGAGUUCGGCAGGGGAGACUGGAAUUCCUGGUGUAGCGGUGAAAUGCGCAGAUAUCAGGAGGAACACCGGUGGCGAAGGCGGGUCUCUGGGCCGAUACUGACGCUGAGGAGCGAAAGCGUGGGGAGCGAACAGGAUUAGAUACCCUGGUAGUCCACGCCGUAAACGUUGGGCGCUAGGUGUGGGAUCCCUUCCACGGGUUCCGUGCCGCAGCUAACGCAUUAAGCGCCCCGCCUGGGGAGUACGGCCGCAAGGCUAAAGCUCAAGGGAAUUGACGGGGGCCCGCACAAGCGGCGGAGCAUGUGGAUUAAUUCGAUGCAACGCGAAGAACCUUACCUGGGUUUGACAUACACCGGAAAGCUGUGGAGACAUGGCCUCCGUAAGGUCGGUGUACAGGUGGUGCAUGGCUGUCGUCAGCUCGUGUCGUGAGAUGUUGGGUUAAGUCCCGCAACGAGCGCAACCCUUGUCCUAUGUUGCCAGCGGCCAGUGACUUUGUUACUGGGCCGGGGACUCAUGGGAGACUGCCGGGGUCAACUCGGAGGAAGGUGGGGACGACGUCAAGUCAUCAUGCCCCUUAUGUCCAGGGCUUCACACAUGCUACAAUGGCCGGUACAGAGGGCUGCGAAGCCGUGAGGUGGAGCGAAUCCCACAAAGCCGGUCUCAGUUCGGAUCGGGGUCUGCAACUCGACCCCGUGAAGUCGGAGUCGCUAGUAAUCGCAGAUCAGCAAUGCUGCGGUGAAUACGUUCCCGGGCCUUGUACACACCGCCCGUCACGUCACGAAAGUCGGUAACACCCGAAGCCGGUGGCCUAACCCUUUAUUGGGGGGGAGCCGUCGAA
rnacentral:rRNA from 1 species